rnacentral:rRNA from 1 species
UGGGGAAUUUUGCACAAUGGGGGAAACCCUGAUGCAGCGACGCCGCGUGAUUUAGAAGGCAUUCGGGUUGUAAAAAUCUUUUCUAUGGGAAGAAAAUGACAGUACCAUAGGAAUAAGGACCGGCUAAUUACGUGCCAGCAGCCGCGGUAAUACGUAAGGUCCGAGCGUUGUCCGGAAUCAUUGGGCGUAAAGGGUACGUAGGCGGGUAAGCAAGUUAGAAGUGAAAUCCUAUAGCUCAACUAUAGUAAGCUUUUAAAACUGCUCAUCUUGAGGUAUGGAAGGGAAAGUGGAAUUCCUAGUGUAGCGGUGAAAUGCGCAGAUAUUAGGAGGAAUACCGGUGGCGAAGGCGACUUUCUGGCCAUAACCUGACGCUGAGGUACGAAAGCGUGGGUAGCAAACAGG